rfam:Angiostrongylus cantonensis strain Taiwan genome assembly, scaffold: ACAC_contig0011271
GCCUCAUUGGCACAGGGUCGGAGCGCCUGUCUUAGAAACAGAAGGUUUUCGUAAAUAGAAGGUAGCUGUUUCGAAUCCAGCAUGAGGCA